CAAGAGAGAUGAUGUGUGUGCAUGUGUUGUCUUUUAGAGUUUUCCACAUCAGGAGACCAUAUAUUUUAAUGACAGAAGUUUCAUCUCCAGAGGGCAUGAUGACUCCUGGAGGCGUCUUCCUCACCAUGGGUCCCUCUGCAGUGCAGCAUGCCUGCUGACGGUGCACCACGCUGGGCUGCAGCCUUCUGCUUCAGCUGGGUCACCCUCCUGGCCAGCCUGGAGCUCAGGGUGCUGGGCCGCCCUCUGUGCUUACAGCGAGCUUUCAUCUGUAGGGGAGGAGCGGAACAGCUAAUUAUUGACUCAUUUCUUUCCUAAUUAAAACAUCCAGGAAAGGAAAAAAAACAUUAGCAGCAGGAAGUGGUUGUGUGUGGGGAUAAACAAGGAGGGACCGCAGAGAGACCAACCUGUACAGAGCUGAGACUGUUGAAGCCGUGAUUGGACAUUUUCUUCCUGGGUUUUUGCUCCAGUAAAUUCAGCCCGGUCCUGGAAAACAUAAAAACACAGCGGAGGCGCACUUAAAUGAGAAUUUAUCAUAUAUAAAAGGGAUCACAGAAUCAA